AUUUAAUCCGUCCAAAACUAAAACUGCAGCGUUGAUAACUAACAGCGUUGUGGUAUUCAAUUGGACCACAUUGAAACCCAUGUUUAACUAUUCCUCUUAAGGGCAUUGUCUCAAAGAUGCUAACCUUAAUAAAGUACAAAACAACAUUACUAUAAC